rnacentral:rRNA from 1 species
CUCGUAGGUGGCCAACUAAGUCGGACGUGAAAUCCCUCGGCUUAACCGGGGAACUGCGUCCGAUACUGGUUGGCUUGAGUUUGGGAGAGGGAUGCGGAAUUCCAGGUGUAGCGGUGAAAUGCGUAGAUAUCUGGAGGAACACCGGUGGUGAAGGCGGCAUCCUGGACCAAUACUGACGCUGAGGAGCGAAAGCCAGGGGAGCAAACG